rnacentral:rRNA from 1 species
UACGAAGGGUGCAAACGUUGCUCGGAAUUAUUGGGCGUAAAGCGCACGUAGGCGGCUUUGCAAGUCGGAUGUGAAAUCCCUCGGCUUAACCAAGGAAGUGCAUCCGAAACUGCAAAGCUUGAGUACUUAAGAGGAUCGCGGAAUUCCCGGUGUAGAGGUGAAAUUCGUAGAUAUCGGGGAAGGAACACCAGUGGCGAAGGCGGCGAUCUGGGGAAGAUACUGACGCUGAGGUGCGAAAGCGUGGGGAGCAAACAGG